UACGUAGGGUGCAAGCGUUAAUCGGAAUUACUGGGCGUAAAGCGUGCGCAGGCGGUUUGUAAGUCUGUCGUGAAAUCCCCGGGCUCAACCUGGGAAUGGCGAUGGAGACUGCAAGGCUAGAGUUUGGCAGAGGGGGGUAGAAUUCCACGUGUAGCAGUGAAAUGCGUAGAGAUGUGGAGGAACACCGAUGGCGAAGGCAGCCCCCUGGGUCAAGAUUGACGCUCAUGCACGAAAGCGUGGGGAGCAAACAGG
rnacentral:rRNA from 1 species